rnacentral:tRNA from 2 species
UAGAAAGUGGUGUAGUGGAGGCACGAAGAGUUUUGAUCUCUUAAGGUUGGGUUCAAAUCCCUUUUUUCUAA